UACGUAGGGUGCAAGCGUUAAUCGGAAUUACUGGGCGUAAAGCGUGCGCAGGCGGUUUGGUAAGACAGAUGUGAAAUCCCCGGGCUUAACCUGGGAACUGCAUUCGAUACUGAUCAGCUAGAGUAUGAGAGAGGGAGGUAGAAUUCCACGUGUAGCGGUGAAAUGCGUAGAUAUGUGGAGGAAUACCGGUGGCGAAGGCGGCCUCCUGGCUUAAUACUGACACUGAGGUGCGAAAGCGUGGGGAGCAAACAGG
rnacentral:rRNA from 1 species